UGGUAGCAAUACCGAAGGAAGUCUAGCGGCGAACGGGUGCUUAACACGUGGGCAACCUGCCAAGAAGUGGGGGAUAGCUCGCCGAAAGGCGAAUUAAUACCGCAUGUGAUUAGAGAGGACAUCCUUUCGAAAUUAAAGUCGGGGCAACCUGACGCUUUUUGUGGGGCCCGCGGCCUAUCAGCUAGUUGGUGAGGUAACGGCCCACCAAGGCUUUGACGGGUAGCUGGUCUGAGAGGACGACCAGCCACACUGGGACUGAGACACGGCCCAGACACCUACGGGUGGCAGCAGUCGAGAAUUUUUGACAAUGGGGGAAACCCUGAUCGAGCGACGCCGCGUGGAGGAUGAAGGUCUUCGGAUUGUAAACUCCUGUCAUUGGGGAACAAGUCGCUUACGUUAACUGCGUGAGCGUUGAUAGUACCCGAAGAGGAAGAGACGGCUAACUCUGUGCCAGCAGCCGCGGUAAUACAGAGGUCUCAAGCGUUGUUCGGAUUCAUUGGGCGUAAGGGGUGCGUAGGCGGCGCGGUAAGUCGGGUGUGAAAUCUUGGAGCUUAAACUCCGAAACUGCAUUCGAUACUGCCGUGCUUGAGGACUGGAGAGGAGACUGGAAUUCACGGUGUAGCAA
rnacentral:rRNA from 1 species